AUUGUUGGCUGGGUGAACCCCAACAGUUUAGCCGUCCCAAAAAAUGAGAACUGAUAUAAUAAAGAGGGGAUGCAAUUUGUUUGAUGGAUCCAAUCCCACCGAGCAAUGCAUUAGACUCGGUCUUGGAGUCGACGAUAAAAAAUGUGGUCAUGUGAUUGCGACCUGCAACGCUGACCUCUAAAGGAAGUAUUCCCUUAGUUUGAGACUUGUCAUCGACAAAGCUACUCAUG
rnacentral:lncRNA from 1 species